UCUAGCGAGACUGCCGGUAAUAAACCGGAGGAAGUGGGGAUGACGUCAAAUCAUCAUGCCCCUUAUGACCUGGGCUACACACGUGCUACAAUGGUUGGUACAACGAGUUGCGAGUCGGUGACGGCGAGCUAAUCUCUUAAAGCCAAUCUCAGUUCGGAUUGUAGGCUGCAACUCGCCUACAUGAAGUCGGAAUCGCUAGUAAUCGCGGAUCAGCACGCCGCGGUGAAUACGUUCCCGGGCCUU
rnacentral:rRNA from 1 species